GAUGAACGCUGGCGGCGUGCCUAAUACAUGCAAGUCGAGCGAACAGACGAGGAGCUUGCUCCUCUGACGUUAGCGGCGGACGGGUGAGUAACACGUGGAUAACCUACCUAUAAGACUGGGAUAACCUCGGGAAACCGGAGCUAAUACCGGAUAAUAUAUUGAACCGCAUGGUUUAAUAGUGAAAGACGGUUUUGCUGUCACUUAUAGAUGGAUCCGCGCCGCAUUAGCUAGUUGGUAAGGUAACGGCUUACCAAGGCAACGAUGCGUAGCCGACCUGAGAGGUUGAUCGGCCACACUGGAACUGAGACACGGUCCAGACUCCUACGGGAGGCAGCAGUAGGGAAUCUUCCGCAAUGGGCGAAAGCCUGACGGAGCAACGCCGCGUGAGUGAUGAAGGUCUUCGGAUCGUAAAACUCUGUUAUUAGGGAAGAACAAAUGUGUAAGUAACUAUGCACGUCUUGACGGUACCCAAUCAGAAAGCCACGGCUAACUACGUGCCAGCAGCCGCAGUAA
rnacentral:rRNA from 1 species